GUCACAAGCUCCUGAAUAUUAUUACAACCUGUGGUCUGUAUAUGGCAGUGGGGCACCCUUGUUAGUAUGUAGUUGCCACUGAAGGGCUGGUGAAAGGUUCGCUUGGGGGUCACCCCACGGUAGGGGGGGUCACCGCUCUCAGUGUCGUGAAUAUUCACCCCAAUGUAUGUCCUUGCUGGAAUUGGGGCCACUAGGAUGGUUACUCCUCUUGGAGUGUAUAAGUUUAAAUGGACAAAUGGACAUAUUUAUCUUUAAAGGUGGGAUCCCUUCUCUGUGAUUUGCCAAUAUAAAAUCAGGUAUGGCACUAAUACAAACAGUCAGUACAACAGAACAUAGAAAUAAUAUGAAUGAUCCAACACUGUUUGAU